CGAGACUUUCAGUGCAGGCAGCGCUUCCUUCCGGGCAACCUUGCGUUUGCAGCGAGUCGGCGCCCGCGCCAGUCCGCGACUGGCCACCGUAGCGCUCGUACGCGCUACAACACGCUCCUCCCGCGAAAACACGUGACAAUACGCGAGUACAACAAACAAUUUUGGAUUGACGGACGGUGCAUGUGUACAAGUGGCUGCCACUCAGUGCUUUGAAGUGGAGGCUCGGGCCGCCGGCGCCGCUGGGCCCGUGAUCGGCCCGAGCGGCGGUAUGGAAUCCCCGCAAAUGUACGAUGCGGCGGCAGCACCGCCGCCGCCACCGCAGCCAGACCUCAAGAAGGCAGUUGAUGAUAAAAGACCAGCGUUUCCUCCUCCGGACCUAGACGAGCUCAAUGGACAGGAAAUUAGCUUGGACUUGCAACACCUCAUCGAGGACCAGUUCCGAGGGGAAGAGACCAUGGCCCUCUUCCAGGAAAUACUUCCUGGUGGCCGCUCUCCACAACCAAGACAGAGUUUUGCCCGAACAACCUUGGCAUAUAUGCCCCAGCCGGUACACUCAGGCGCGUCCUAUGCUGCUCCCGUGCCAACGAGCUCAGGGCAUGAGCAACAAGCGCCGCCAAUAAAGGAGGAACCACCAGAGCCUCAUGAUUUCAGGAGAUCGGUGACGUGUGCACAGUAUACUGGUCAAUAUAAUCCUCAACCACCAGUUGGUGUAGGUGGUCCGUAUGGCGGCGGAUUUACGCCAUUACCACCAUUGGGUGCUCCGUUACUGCCGCCUCUACUCAAACACAAGCCUGCACCAGCGAGACGCUCUUCAGGCAAAGUGAUAGACAAAGGUACAGACGAAUAUAGGAGGCGGCGGGAGCGCAACAAUAUAGCGGUCAGGAAAUCACGGGAAAAAGCAAAAGUGCGUUCCAGGGAGGUGGAGGAAAAAGUUAAAACGUUGUUAAGGGAGAAAGAGGCGUUGCUAAAGAGGCUGGAGGCAGUAUCGGGAGAGUUGAGCCUACACAAACAGAUGUACGUUCAUUUAAUCAAUUUGAACCAUCCUGAGAUCACGGAGCUUUGCCGAUCGAUGCUGCAACUUGGAGCCCCUCAUGCGCCUGAUCACACGCUUUGACCGUAUGUGAGUGUGCGUUACCUUUUUGUUGUGUGCAUCCGUUGGCUACAUUGCGGCAUAAUGUACAUGGAACUAAGACAGCGGAGCGUUACGUAGCGUUAGCGUCCGUGUGAUAACAUAACAUGUGCAUGAUGAAACUUACUAUUUAUAAGUGAAACUCCUUUUUGGAAAACUUUAGCUAGCGAAUUGUAACUUUGUGAUUUUUACUGUUUACUUUUUAUAUAAAUAUACAAGGAUAGCAUAGUUUAUAAGGUAGUUGCAAAAGAUUAAAAAAUGACGCAGAAACGCAACUUCUUUGUCAUUUUUUGACGCGCGCGCGGAUCGUUUACGGUCCAUUACUUAUUGUAAGAAGUGCCGUUUCUCAAUUAGUUAUUAUUUAAUCUUUUGAUUGUAAACAUAUUCUGACAAUGGCGAAUCCUAGCUACCUAGUAGUGAUCUCAAAUAAUGUGGCAAGGAUUUGCGCACGCUCACAAAAUCACUGCCAUUGAGCCUCAAAAAUGUUCUUUAAAACGACAUCGGGAAAGUCUGAUUUUAUUUGCGAAGGCUGCUGUAGAUUAAUUUUUAUUGGACAGUCAUGAUUUUUUUUUAAUUCAUUGUUGUGUCUUAGUCAAGAAAUGUGAACAAAUGAAGAUUGCAUCUUGACCACAAAAUAAAUUUCGAUUUAUUUUUAAAUUGUUUUAAAAUCUUUCUUAAAAUUCUUAAGUUAAAAAAAAAAAAACUAUCUACCAAUAUACUCAUGAUUUGUAUCGAUUGUAUCGAACCGCUACUUCAUCAAGGUCACCAAAUGUGACAUCUGUCAAGGUCAAAUUUAUCAAUCAUUAACUCUGUGUUCGAAUUGUGAUCUCUGUUUGAUUUCUUGAUUCCAUCAUUGGCUAUAUAUAGGUGAGAAACAUCAUGCGAUGCAUCUGUGAAUUAAUCUUUGUCAGAUUAAACAUUAUAGAUGUCGCUAGAAUCAUUUUAAUAGUAAACGUUGUUAUUUUUAUUAUCUAAAUAUAUAUAUAUAUAUUUGGAUGACUGAUCAUUAAAAAUCAAAUUAUCGUAUCCAUUCAACUUUUAAGUUAAGAACGUCUUAAUGUAAUAUAUAGUUUAAUUAGUUAGUUUUAAUGUUACUGUAAUAUAAAUUGGUUGUAAAUAAUUUGGAAUCUAUAAAUAAUCGAAUGUUCUAGUUGUAAAAUACUUAUUUACUCUUCUGUCUUUAUUCUAUUUUACCUUUUACUAUUUUGUCUUUUUAUUAUAUAAUAAAAUUUUAUUAACAAUUCAGAAAACAAUUGAUGUUUCGUUAGAAAAAUAUAGAAGAGAUACUGUGUUUUAUCUUAUACUUUAAUGUAAUAACUAAAGAUUACGACUAAGAGUCCCGGAUGGUCGCGAAACUAGUUGAGAUUUCUUGACUAAACUAGACUUAAGUUAAACCGGUAGUUAUUACAUUAAAAUAUAAUGCGUACUUACAAAACCUUUAGCAAUUAAAUUGUCCAUCUUAUUAACAGUUUUGUUUCUUUUUUUUUUAAUUCUAAUUACUUGUUAAACUGUACUAUUAAAUUUGUUUUUUUUUUUGAAUAAUUUAAAUCAUUAUGUAAAUAUUUACUAUUUUUAACUUUACCGCUGAGCGAUUAAGUCUUGCUAUGGGUUAUAUAAUUGUUGAUUUCUAAAAUUUUUAUUCCUAACGAUGUACCUUUAAAUAAUUUUUGUUAGAUAUCUCUUGUCUAUGUUACGUUAAGUGUUAAGUGACGAGUUUUAAAUUAAAAUAUAUGAUAAAAUCAUUCUUUUGUCGUGUGGGAAGUACAAGGAGUUAUUUAUAUUAAAUAUAUAAUUCAAUUUGUUUUUUUUUUUUUUGUAGUGCUACUUAAUUUCGUGAAACGGUAGCUACUAGCACGGGUUACAGGCUGCCUUUACACAGUUAUAUAUAAACUAGAACGCAUAACCGCUGAGUGCCAACCCUAGAUUAGCGUAGUAACAUUCAAAUAGGGUCGGCAGUCAUUGCAAAACGGGUCUUGAAACGUAUAGUUACCAGAAUGGAUCCUAAUUUUUUUUUAUAUAUAAUAUCUACAAGGUGACUACACACCAUUUAUAUAUUAAAAAAAAUAUAUUAUAUUUUAUUACAAUAGUCAUUAAAGUAUUUAUUUUUAAUAAUUUACAUAUAUUAUAUUAUAAAUUUUAUUAUUGUCAACAGUUUUUUUUUUCGGUGUGUAGAAACCAAACAGUAUGUACAAGUAAAUGAUACCACUCCGUCCCAAUCAUACUACAUAAUAAUAUAUGAGUUUUUAUAAGGGAAACUAUUUUUUUUUUUAACUAAUAAGAGAAAAGCUAUAACUAUUAAUUGACUAAUGUUUCCACAAUACAGAUGUGUAUAUAUAAAAUCUGUGAAAAAAAAAUUUUGUUUUUUUUUUCUGAUAUCUUUAUACUACUUAGAAAACAAAAAGUGUUCAAUACGUUUGUGAGGCUCACUUAAAAAGCCUUUAUAGUAUAUAAUAUAUACUUUUCUUGUUGUUUUUUUUAAUGUUUUAAAUGAAUUUUAUAUAUUUUUCGUUUAUGUUUGGUCGUCCAGAUGGUGCUAAGAGAUCAAAUAUUUUUCCAUAUUUUUUUUUUCGUUCUGAGCCAAAGACUUUUUUACGCUCCUCUUGUUACAUGUUUUUUAGACAGUAAAUAUAUAAAUACUUAAUUGUAAUUUGGUAAAAAUGUAAAAAAAAAAAAUAUUUAAAAUUGUUUCGGGAAUAAAUUUUACAAAAAAAAUAAAUAUGUAUUUUACUGGCUAAAUAAUGAAUGUAACAGCUAUUUUAUAUAAUUUGGUUAUAUGUUGUUAUGUAUAUUUUGCUUUAUAUUGUACCCGUUAUAUUGUACCUAUGUAUGAGGCCUUGAUUUUUCCUGACAAUAAAUUUAGCGAUAAGAGAAAUGUAAUGUCAAUGUUCUAGGUGCAAUUAAUUUUAAUAUAUGAAUAUUUAAU